rnacentral:lncRNA from 1 species
AAGCAGGGCUUUCUGCAUUGGAAGACGCCCUGAAAGCAGGAUAUGAAGACUAUAAGGUAACUAGAGAAUAGCUCUGUUGCCACAUGAGAAUCAAUGGUUCCUAACUAGUGACACACAUCUUAUUUUAAUUCCUACAGCGAAUCCGCACCGACCCGGAUCUCGAAAACUUGAGGAAAUCGGAGCAAUUCGAUCCCCUGAUGAAGAACUACGACGAGUCGUUCAUCAACGAGAACGCCCUCAAUGCCAUCAAAUCCUUGUUCAGAUUCGGCAAGAACUGAGCGACUGAAACAUGGUAGCAGCAGCAGGCAAUGCCACUCUUGUCUGGUCUUGCAGAGCCUACUGUGCUAAGCUCAUGCCCGU